rnacentral:ncRNA from 12 species
GAUUGGAUUGAGCCUUGGUAUGGAAACCUACUAAGUGAGAACUUCCAAACUCAGAGAAACCCCGGAAUAAAAAAUGGGCAAUCCUGAGCCAAAUCCUGUGUUCAGAAAACAAGGUUCAGAAAGCGGGAAUCAAAAAAAGGAUAGGUGCAGAGACUCAAUGGAAGCUGUUCUAACAAAUAGAGUUGACUGCAUCGGUAAGGGAAUUCUUUCCUUUUAUCCAAACGACAGAAAGGAUGACCUUGUAUACGUACGUAUACAUACUGAAACAUCAAACGAUUAAUCACGACUCGAAUCGGUUUUUUUUUCUGAAAAAUUUCAGAAUAGAAGGAUUGUGAAUUGAUUCCAAGUUGAAGGAAGAAUCGAAUAUUCAGAGAUCAAAUCAUCCAUUCCCGAGUCUAAUAGAUCUUUUGAAGAACCGAUGAAUCGGACGAGAAUAAAGAUAGAGUCCCGUUCUACAUGUCAAUACAGACAACAAUGAAAUUGAUAGUAAGAGG